GCGGGCGUGGCGGAAGGGCAGACGCGCCAGACUUAGGAUCUGGUGGGGUUCACCCGUGGAGGUUCAAGUCCUCUCGCCCGCACCA
rnacentral:tRNA from 1 species